UACGUAGGCAGCAAGCGUUGUUCGGAGUUACUGGGCGUAAAGAGUGCGUAGGCGGUCUUUUAAGUUUGGUGUGAAAUCUCCCGGCUCAACUGGGAGGGUGCGCCGAAAACUGGGAGGCUUGAGGAUGGGAGAGGCAUGCGGAAUUCCUGGUGUAGCGGUGAAAUGCGUAGAUAUCAGGAGGAACACCUGCGGUGUAGACGGCUGGCUGGACCACUACUGACGCUGAGGCACGAAAGCGUGGGGAGCAAACAGG
rnacentral:rRNA from 1 species